ACCCAGUUGACGAGUCCCAAAUAGGAUGAAACAUGCGACCUGGAU
rnacentral:hammerhead_ribozyme from 1 species